rnacentral:tRNA from 6 species
GGUCGGAUGGUGUAGUUGGUUAUCACGUGAGUCUAACACACUCAAGGUCCCCAGUUCGAGCCUGGGUUCGAUCA